CUAACAUACAGCGGCAGUAAUGUGGAACAGACAACAUGUCACUACGUUAAUCUUCCAAGUAAAUCAGGCUGUAAAUAUUUUAUAUAGUGAUGACAAAUAUGCAUAUUCUCAUACAGCUACUUAUUAAACUUGCAGCAUAAAGAAGGCAGUCAUAGAGCUCAUAACUUCUGCACACUGUGUCACAAGGUGUAAAGAAAGCUGCAGGAGAACAUUCUGCUUGUGCACUUGUAAAGUCUUUAACAUUUGACUGUGACCGUCUUUUCACUUUCACCUUUCAUCUAAAGUGCAUUUAGUGUGAGAGCAGGAUGUGUUUCUAAUGUGUCAUAGUCAAAAGUCAAAAGAAGAGACCUCUGUGGAUCAUUCAGCUCCUGAUAAAAACCUCCUGAACAACGAACACUGAGGGAAUUCUCUCUGGGAGAAGUUUUAGGUGGUUGCAAUCUGCAGUUCACCAGUAGAGGCCACCAAAUCCCUGUAAAUCUUCCACACUUCUCCUUAAAUAGUAUUUGUGGCGUCUUUUUCUCAGCAGAUGUUUUGAGUUGUAGUUGCAGGAAAAGCACAGGUGAUACAAAUGUGUCCUGUUUACUCCAGAGUCAGAGGUCAGCACUCAGCAGGUGUGUGUUGUGUUACAGCUCAGAGCAGCAGCAGACACCACACUCUGCAGGGACCAUGGGAAGUGACAAGAUGGAGUCAAGACAUAAACCUACAUUCUGAUGUGUUUCUCCUAAACAUCCCUCCCAGGAGAAAUAAGGAGCAAAAGAACAGAUGGACUUGCACAGCACUUCUCUAGUCGUCUGAGCACUCAGAGCACUUUCACACUACUUGUUGAUUCUAUAAGGGGUUAUGAGAAACAGAUGAGAAUGUAGUAAUCUCCAAAUAAGAAGAUGAGUUAUGUCUGAUAAGACAAAGAAAACAUUGUGGUGAGCAGCACAUUUUCCUCUGGGGAGACAAGAGGAAGGUUAUUUCUCAGGAGCUGAAUUAAAGAAGUAUGAAAAAUGGUCACAAUCUCAUAUUGAUCUUAAACUGAGCUCAGUUACGUCUGGGAGAAAUAGGUUGGACAAAGAUCUGAUUUUGAGUUUUCCCUUCCUCUGGGUAUAUAUUCACAUGAAUUUCAUUUCAUGUGUAUCCACACUCCAGACGUUAAAGUCAGUAAAAUCAACUUCCUUUUGUUACAGAUGAAAUGACAGUAAAUGUUUGGGCCUCUGCACCCUCAUAAUGAUCCCAUACGAUGGAUCAGGAUUAUUGUUUAAGUGAUAAGUGAUUACUCUAAAAGUCUGUGUUGAUAAAAGAGAGGAAUCAUUCAGUGGGAACAGAAUCAACUUUUACUGAACUUCUCUGAUGUCUACUCAGUAGUUUCUGUGUAUCCAUCAGUUGAUGUGUCUGGAUGUCUGAUCAUCUCAUUUCCCACCCUGCUGCUCUUUGUGUCUUGUUUACUAGGAGGGCUGAAAGAGAAGCACGGUUCAGUAGGGAAAGACAUAAACCUACAUUCUGAUGUGUUUCUCCUAAACAUCCCUCCCAGGAGAAAUCAGGAGCAAAAGAACAGAUGGACUUGCACAGCACUUCUCUAGUCGUCUGAGCACUCAGAGCACUUUCACACUACUUGUUGAUUCUAUAAGGGGUUAUGAGAAACAGAUGAGAAUGUAGUAAUCUCCAAAUAAGAAGAUGAGUUAUGUCUGAUAAGACAAAGAAAACAUUGUGGUGAGCAGCACAUUUUCCUCUGGGGAGACAAGAGGAAGGUUAUUUCUCAGGAGCUGAAUUAAAGAAGUAUGAAAAAUGGUCACAAUCUCAUAUUGAUCUUAAACUGAGCUCAGUUACGUCUGGGAGAAAUAGGUUGGACAAAGAUCUGAUUUUGAGUUUUCCCUUCCUCUGGGUAUAUAUUCACAUGAAUUUCAUUUCAUGUGUAUCCACACUCCAGACGUUAAAGUCAGUAAAAUCAACUUCCUUUUGUUACAGAUGAAAUGACAGUAAAUGUUUGGGCCUCUGCACCCUCAUAAUGAUCCCAUACGAUGGAUCAGGAUUAUUGUUUAAGUGAUAAGUGAUUACUCUAAAAGUCUGUGUUGAUAAAAGAGAGGAAUCAUUCAGUGGGAACAGAAUCAACUUUUACUGAACUUCUCUGAUGUCUGCUCAGUAGUUUCUGUGUAUCCAUCAGUUGAUGUGUCUGGAUGUCUGAUCAUCUCAUUUCCCACCCUGCUGCUCUUUGUGUCUUG